CCAGGUUUGGUCAGCUAUUUUGGGCCCUUUCUACUGGAGUUAAGCUGUUACUUAGCUCCCCACAGGGAGACUGACCGAGCUCCCACUGGUCCGCACCCCAGCAGCAGACAUGACAAGCUUCAGGGCAAGCUGAAGUCCUGCCUCAACCCAGGUUCCCCAAUGCCAUGUUUCACAGCCAUGCUCCUGCGUGGCUGGCCCAGUCCUGUCCCUUUAGUUAUUGUGAAUCUCGUAUAUUUUGUUUCUCUGACAUUCACCCGAUUACUUAGUUCUUUCUUCCUAGAUCUGAUUUGUACAAUUUGCUUCUGCAGGGGCAUUUGGGAAGAAGUGCUUUUGACACAUCGGUGUCUUUUCCAGUCUCAAAUGGGAUACAGGUGAAGAAAUGACUUCAGGCAAGGUAGUCAGAAUUUUACAUUCUGCCAAUGAAGGAAUCCCAAGCAGAUUUUUUGAGCCUCUGACACGUCGUUGACUAAAGAGAAAUAAACAAUGGAGUACUGGAGCCUGCUCACACCAGCCAAUUGUUAGAACCUCUCUCCAGCUCCACCUUCAGGGACAAUACACUGAUAGAAACUGAAAGAGUGCAGUCACGUGGAUGGUUUGGAUUAGGCAUGGUGAGGGUAUUUAUACCAUGGGAAUUGGCAAAUGCUAAUUUACCUUGAUCAAUUUACCAGUAGAUCACUGGAAAAGAAAAAAAAUCACAAGAAUCAUUAAAUAUGUUAGAGAUAAUAUGUCUAAAGUGUCCAUUAAUGUGCUAGCUA
rnacentral:lncRNA from 1 species